rnacentral:lncRNA from 1 species
UUGCACAUAGAUAGGCACCAUUCCAAAAGUUUCCCAUGAGCAUAUAGGUUACGGCAAAGCUCCUAGUCUUUGGACCCCCUCACAACAGACAACUCAUCACUCCCACAAACUACGUGUGACACUGGAACGCUAAUUCCACCAUCAUCCCUUGUUCUUUUACUCUCUCUUUUGGGUUCUGAUCAAUCAAUCAAACCUCACCCUUUGUCUUUUUUAGGUGACUUGUGUAUACCGUAUACCNNNNNNNNNNNNNNNNNNNNNNNNNNNNNNNNNNNNNNNNNNNNNUACAGCAAUGGCAUCUUCUUGGUCAUUGAUCAGAAGGUCUAGGACCUUAAUUCAUCACAAAAAAAAAUUGGCCUUUUUAGGAUUUUUAGGAACACCUACCUUUUCUUCAUCUUGUUCAUCACCAUUUAUGAAAAGGCCAUGUGCAGCAUCAGCGGCUUAUAUCAACAACAACAACAACAACUACCACCACCAUUUCCGAUUCUUGCGGCGGUUUGAGUCUACAAAAGCUGAGGCGGCACAAUUGGAGUUGCAGCACUAUGUCACCGAUGACGAUGAUAACAACCAGGUAAUGCAUUAAUUACUAUACCAAAUUAUUAUCAUUAGAGUCAAAGAGUUAAUUAAUUUGGUUUAUAUAUCUUGAGAUACACAGAAUGGGGAGAAUGACAUUGAAAGUUUGAAACACAAAAGAUGCAUGCACCCCCUCCCCCCUUUUUUGUCUAUCUUAUUGAUGAGAAAUAUAAAUAAUUGGCUUAAAUGUUAUCUCUUUACACGUGUCGUGUCGCAUCUCUAUAUGAGCUUUUGUAAAAUAACAAUUUCGGAAAAUAAAGAUUUUUUUUAAGAUUUUGCUUCUGUUAUCGUUUCAAAUUAUAUGUUUUUUUGAGUCACCAAAAAAAAAAUUAUAUGUUUUUGUGUAGUUACGGCUACGUUUCAACUGUUUUAAGAUAAUAACCAAACAUCUUUGAUUUUAUAAGCUUGAAUUAUAUUUUUUAAAAACAGAUUAUAUUUGUAGUUAAUUGUUAUCUAACAUAUUGUAUUUUACUAAAAAUGUGAAAUUCACUCUAGUUCUUUAAUUAGAUUAAUAGACUAAAUUAAAUCAUUGAGAUCUAUAAAGUUAUGCCAAAAAAAGUUUUUUAACAGAUUAAAUUGAGUUUAAACAUUUUUUAUUAACUGAACUGGUGAUACAAGGAUUAAUUCGAUUCACCAAUAUAAACUUCAAUUGGUUAUCGGAUCGAAACUGAUUAUUGAAAUUGUGUCGUCUCUUUGAAAGAAUUCAUUUUUUGUUUAUUGACUACUAUGUAAGAGUUUUUAUUAUUUUUAUUUCUAUAUAUAUUUUUUGGAUAAUUCAAGUACAAACUUGAUCCAAUCAGGGAGAAGAGUUCGUAAGAUGGUUUACGAUGAUCAGUUUAGUUAAUUAAUUUCUUUAAUUUUAACAUAGCCAUCAAAAUUAAUCAAUCUCCCAAAAGCCAAAACUCACUAACAAAAGAAUUAUACGAUCAAUGCUGCCAAAUAAAACUCAUUCCCCACACCUAUGGCACCUGCAAUAAUACCACCCACUCAUGUGAAAAAAUCACACCCUCAUACAACUAUAUAUAACAUCAUAACUACUCCUCUUUCAGUUCCACCUGUAUUCAAUUAUUCCACUUUGAGUCUCUUUUCAUUUGCACGUCCCACUUGAGAGCGUCAGUUUAAAAUUAUGUAUGCUUUUGAUACAAUCCGUUUAGUGAGACCCAUACGCACCAAGUGUCCUCUUUACUUCUUGCGUCUUUCAUUUUGCUAAGGCUUUACUUUUCAAAAGGAGCUAACUUUCAAAAGAUGAUUUUUUAAAAGUUGUAGUAUUUAUGUUUGGUAAAUCAAAUUAAAAAUUGUUUUUAAUAAUCACAAGUAACAACAAUUGCAUUUGAUAAAAUAACUUUUAAAAUUUAAAAAUACUAUAAUAGACAUAAAUGCAAGCAUUAAAUUUGAAAAUUUGUUAAGAUACGAGGUUAUAUUAUAAUUUUAAAUUUUGAAAAGCACAAGCCAAUUUUGAAAAGUUCUAUCUUAGAUACUUUUAAAAGUACCGCGAUCUUUUAAAAGCUGUAAACACAAAUACAUAAUCUUUUUUAUUUACCAAACACAAAAUGAGGAGCUUGAACUUUUAAAAAAUACAAGUACCUCUUUAAAAAACUUUACCAAACCAAGCUUAAUUAUUUUAAAAGACUUUUUUACUCGUAAGAGGAGAAGAAGUUUGAUCACAAUAUACAACAACAACCUCAUAAUAUCACCUAGAACUAUUCUCCUUUCCUACAAUACAAACAGAUUUAACCAACAAAGGAUCCCCAAUCAUACCACAGCAAUGGCAUCUUCUUGGUCAUUGAUCAGAAGGUCUAGGACCUUAAUUCAUCACAAAAAAAAAUUGGCCUUUUUAGGAAUAGGAUCAGCACCUACCUUUUCUUCAUCUUGUUCAUCACCAUUUAUGAAAAGGCCAUGUGCAGCAUCAGCGGCUUAUAUCAACAACAACUACUCAUCAGCUCACCACCAUUUCCGAUUCUUGCGGCGGUUUGAGUCUACAAAAGCUGAGGCGGCACAAUUGGAGUUGCAGCACUAUGUCACCGAUGACGAUGAUAACAACCAGGUAAUGCAUUAAUUACUAUACCAAAUUAUUAUCAUUAGAGUCAAAGAGUUAAUUAAUUUGGUUUAUAUAUCUUGAGAUACACAGAAUGGG